GAUGAACGCUGGCGGCGUGCCUAACACAUGCAAGUCGAACGAAGCACCUUACCUGAUUCUUCGGAUGAAAGUUUGGUGACUGAGUGGCGGACGGGUGAGUAACGCGUGGGUAACCUGCCCUGUACAGGGGGAUAACAGCUGGAAACGGCUGCUAAUACCGCAUAAGCGCACGAGGAGACAUCUCCUUGUGUGAAAAACUCCGGUGGUACAGGAUGGGCCCGCGUCUGAUUAGCUGGUUGGCAGGGUAACGGCCUACCAAGGCAACGAUCAGUAGCCGGUCUGAGAGGAUGAACGGCCACAUUGGAACUGAGACACGGUCCAAACUCCUACGGGAGGCAGCAGUGGGGAAUAUUGCACAAUGGGGGAAACCCUGAUGCAGCAACGCCGCGUGAGUGAAGAAGUAUUUCGGUAUGUAAAGCUCUAUCAGCAGGGAAGAUAAUGACGGUACCUGACGAAGAAGCUCCGGCUAAAUACAUG
rnacentral:rRNA from 1 species